CCUGGUUGAUCCUGCCAGUACUCAUAUGCUUGUCUUAAAAAUUAAGCCAUACAUGUGUAAGUAUGAAUUAAGUCAAACUGUGAAGAUGUGAAUGGCUCAUUAAAUCAGUUAUAUUUGCUUGAUGGGUUCUACUACUCGAAUAACCGUAGUAAUUCUAGAUCUAAUACAUGCAAAAAAUCCCAGCUUCUAGAAAGGAUGUAUAUAUUAGAUAAAAGGUCAAUGCGGGCUUAUUCCGUUGCUCUGAUGAUUCAUGAUAACUCGACAGAUCACACGGCCUUUAUGCCAGUGAUGCAUCAUUCAACUUUCUGACCUAUCGACUUUCGAUGGUAAGAUAGUGGCCUACUAUGGUGGUAAUGAGUGAUAAAGAAUCAGGGUUCGAUUCCGAAGAGGGAGCCUGAGAAACGGCUACCACAUCCAAGGAAGGCAACAGGCCCACAAAUUACCCAAUCCUAACAUGGGAAGGUAAACAAUAAAUAAUAAUCCCGGACUCAUUAAGUCUAGUAAUUGGAAUGAGUAUAAUCUAAAUCCCUUGACGAGGAUGCAGUGGAGGGUAAAUGUGGUGCUAGCAAUCGUGGUAAUUCCAGCUCAAAUAGUAUAUAUUUAAGUUGUAGCAGUUAAAAAACUCAUAGUUGGACUUUAGCAUAGGUCGAUCGGUCCGCCCUUGGGUGUACACUGAUCAUCUCGUCCUUUCUACUGGCAAUGCAUUCCUAGCCUUAAUUAGUCGGGUCGUGCCUCCGGCGUUGUUGCUUUAAAGAAAUUAGAGUACUUAAAGCAAGCCUACGCUCUGGAUACAUUAGCAUAGGAUAACAUGAUCAGAUUUCGACCAUAUUACGUUAGCUUUCGGGAUCGGAGUAAUGAUUAAUAACAAUAGCCGGGGGCAUUCAUAUUUCAUAGUCAGAAGUAAAAUUCUUGGAUUUAUGAAAGAUGAACAACUGCAAAAGCAUUUGUGAAGGAUAUUUUCAUUAAUCAAGAACGAAAGUUAGGGGCUCGAAGAUGAUCAAAUACCAUCCUAGUCUCAACCCUAAACAAUGCUUACUAGGGAUCAACAAAUGUUUCUUUUAGGACUCUGCUGGCACCUUAUGAGAAAUCAAAAUAUUUGGGUCGUAAGGCUGAAACUUAGAGGAAUUGACAGAAGGGCACCACCAAGAGUGGAGCCUGCGGCUUAAUUUGACUCAACAUGGGGGAACUUACCAAGUCGAAACAUAGUAAAGAUUGAAAAAUUGAGAGCUCUUUCUAGAUUCUAUGGGUGGUGGUGCAUGGCCGUUUUUAGUUGGUGGAACGCGCCCCGGCCUCGUUCGCGAGUAGUGUUACUUGGGGUUGUAGCUAGAUCUUUCACUAACAAAAUGAUUCUUGGCAACAGAUAUCUCGACUCACGCAUCCAAAAAGAACAUAGCAAAAUGUGAAACUUGGUGUGAAUUACAGAAUCUCAUGAACCAUCGAGUCUUCGAAUACAAGUUACGCCUGAAGCCAUUAGGCCAAGGGCACGCUUGCUUGGACGUCUCACAUCGUGUCGCCCCUCGUCAUCCUAUGCCCGCAAAGGGUUCUCAGGUUGAAGGGGAUGAUUUUGGGCCCUCGUGCACUGCCUUUAUGUGCAGUCGACCUAAAAACAAUCGCCGGUAACGAACAUCACGACGAGUGGUGGAUGUGCAAAAUGUUGCGUCAUACCAUACAUGUGUUGUCCCGAUGGAUUGCUCUCGUUUCUAACCCUGGAAAGGCACCAUUCCU
rnacentral:rRNA from 1 species